UGCCAUAGCUAUAUCACUCUGCAGCCCAAGACCGGUUACUCACUGAAGCUAAGCAGGGCUGAGCCAGGUCAGUACCUAUGGGAGACCAUGUGGGAAAGCUAGGUUGCUGUUGGAA
ensembl:rRNA 5S_rRNA 5S ribosomal RNA